rnacentral:rRNA from 4 species
CUUAUCCUUUGUUGCCAGCGGUCCGGCCGGGAACUCAAAGGAGACUGCCAGUGAUAAACUGGAGGAAGGUGGGGAUGACGUCAAGUCAUCAUGGCCCUUACGACCAGGGCUACACACGUGCUACAAUGGCGCAUACAAAGAGAAGCGACCUCGCGAGAGCAAGCGGACCUCAUAAAGUGCGUCGUAGUCCGGAUUGGAGUCUGCAACUCGACUCCAUGAAGUCGGAAUCGCUAGUAAUCGUGGAUCAGAAUGCCACGGUGAAUACGUUCCCGGGCCUUGUACACACCGCCCGUCACACCAUGGGAGUGGGUUGCAAAAGAAGUAGGUAGCUUAACCUUCGGGAGGGCGCUUACCACUUUGUGAUUCAUGACUGGGGUGAAGUCGUAACAAGGUAACCGUAGGGGAACCUGC